UACGUAGGGUGCGAGCGUUGUCCGGAAUUAUUGGGCGUAAAGAGCUCGUAGGCGGUGUGUCACGUCGUUCGUGAAAACCUGCAGCUUAACUGUGGGCGUGCGGUCGAUACGGGCAUCACUGGAGUUCGGCAGGGGAGACUGGAAUUCCUGGUGUAGCGGUGAAAUGCGCAGAUAUCAGGAGGAACACCAGUGGCGAAGGCGGCUUCCUGGACACCAACUGACGCUGAGACGCGAAAGCGUGGGGAGCAAACAGG
rnacentral:rRNA from 1 species